rnacentral:lncRNA from 1 species
CCAAUCCUUGAUUUCAGGGAACACAAAAUCAAAUUGGAGACUAGAGACACAUGAGGGCGUAAUUGAGAAGAUAAGAGAAUAUAUGAUAGAUAAUGAAUGAGCAGCAAUUCAGAGUCGUGAAAACACUCUUUUUUUUUGUUUUUUUGGUGAGGAAGCUUGGCCCUGAGCUAGCAUCUAUUGCCAAUCUUCCUCUUUUUUUUUUUUCUCCCCAAAGCCCCAGUGCAUAGUUGUAUAUCCUAGUUAUAAGUCCUUCUAAUUCUUAUACCUGGGAUGCCACCACAGCAUGGCUUGAUGAGCGGCGCUAGGUCCACACCCAGGAUCCGAACCGGUGAACCCUGGGCCACUGAAGCAGAGUGAACUGAUCUGAAGGUUGACGCCCAUCAGUCUACAUGAGACUUUAUUCCACAGAUAACAGACAACCGUGGAGGAUUUUCAGCGUAGUAAUUGUGCAGUGUCAAGAUGACCCUGAUAACAAGAGCAGUGACGCUUUAUUGACUGGACCAAGUGCCUUGUGUGUGUCAACUUGUUCAACUCUCAUCAUCUAAAGAUCGGGUAAUAUUAGCUCCAUCUGUAUUGACUGAAGCUCUAAGAGGCUAAGGAAAUUACUCAAAUCACACAGUUAUCAAACGGCUUAGCCAAGACUUGAACCCUGGUGUGUUUUAAUUCAAUUUCUGUACUUCCCUCCCUCGGGGAUUCACUGGUGGUGACAAGAAGCAUGGACAGGACAACACUUGGACCAUUUGCAGCCCUUACGCUUGGGUGUCUGAAAUAUGAAAAUGCAGAUUUGCCAAUCUGUGACUCAAGCAGAGACUUAGUGAUGAAAAGACAUACACUUCCUCUCACCAUGUGUUUUCAACACUGCCUCUCCCGAGCCUGGGACCCCUCCAAGGAUGAAUUGCUUGGAAUAUGAGGACAAAAUGGAGAAGUGUUCCGUCCAUUACUGUAAGAUCAAGUCUGACUUCAUCUCCGUCUUCAAUUAAUCAUUCUCAAUCAGAUAACUCCAAGAGGUGUCAGGUUUUGCUCGAUGAACUCAAAAGGAAAAUCUGUUUCCUAUCCUCUUCAGACUUACUUAUCUGAAUAUUUGCGUUUAGUAUUUGACCAAUGCUAAUGUCUACUGUUGGGUGUCGUGAUAGUAAACCCACAAAUUCUUUCCAUCUUUAGACAAAUGUUUCACUGUGUAUUAAUUUUGAUUCAUCUCAAUAAUGGUGAUAAUAUAACAUUCAUUUGAGGUUUCGGUAGCUAGUACUUGCAUCUUGACACAAAUUGCUUUAUAAUUCAGUCUUUAUUUUCUGGUUGCCUGAAAUAGUAUCCUCAGUAGCUAAGGCCUUUCGUCAAAAAACUGCUCCCAAAUAUUGUGUUCUAAUGCCGCUUUAUUUGCUGUGGAGCAGAGUUUUAGUGAACUCAUGGAAGGUUUGAAAUCCAACGUCCAUCCACUGCUGAACCACCGGGAGCAAUAAAUGGCCUUUUCCUGUUGGUGAUUGAAUAACAGAGUGCAGCUGAGGCAUCUCGUAAUCACCAGGACCAAAUAUGCUACUGAAUGAAUUCUCCUACUGUGGGAGAAAUCUUUCUAACACACAGGAGGAAAGGAGGAAAGAAACCAGCCUCUCAAAGCUGUGGGCUGUGGCAGGACCGUGAUGGUUAUCUUCCUGGGGGAUCAUCAACAUCCCCUAAAGGUGGAAUGACUGGCUCAGCUGAAUGGGCCAGGGAACACGAAUCUGAAAUCAAACGUUGGUUGAAGGGCACAGUCAAUGAGGAAAGGCAGCGGAUGUAUGUGGACAAUCACGUGUGCCGGGGUGUAAGUUUGGUUCAUUUGGAAUUGAGAGCAGCUGAAUCUCCUUGUUGCUCAGUGAUCAACACAUCUUCUGGGAAAACCAUCCCGUUUCAGACAACUUCCAGCCUGAGGAUUCGGCAGGACUCUCUCCCUCUCACAUAAUUUCACUUCCUUAGCGUGUCACUGGAUGAGCAGCGUCAGCCUCCUGUGGAGCUCAUUAGAAAUGCGGGCUCUCAGGCUCCAUUGCAGACCUGUGGCAUCAGAAUCUGCUUUUUAGUAGGAUUCCAAGGCCGCUACAGCAGACAGAGCUUCCAGGCCGUCUACACUAUUGCCACAGCUCUCAUAGACUCCCCAGGCCUUGACCGUGAAGGAUGACAAGUGCUCAGUUGAUGGAGACGGGUGGAGGGGGCAUGGUCUGGGCCAGGGGGCUGUCACCAAGGAAGGGAUAUAGAAGCUUUCACUCCAGUGGCUAAAGGGACACUUGCAAUCUUGUCCUCGUCUGGGCUGGCAUUUGUGUCCAAAGGUCCACCCAGCUCCACAUACUACUGUAGCCAAGAGGUGUCUCCCUUCUCUGCCGACCCCUGGCACCGCAGCCACCUGGUCCAUCCUGCUAACAGCAAACAGGGGCCAGCUGGGGUGCAGGGGUGAGCACGGAAGACAUUAACUUCAAGUGGGGGCAUCUUGAGGUUGAGGAGACAGAGGAGUCCCCUUGAGCAGCAGUAAAGGGAGGCCAGGUUAGUCAAGCCCUGGUUUUCCUGUUUGAAGCCUCAGCAGGAAUUCUGCUUCUUUUCUUCUGUCCUUUGGCUGAUCUUUUUGGCUGAUUGACCGCAACUCUGCCACAGGCACAGUCUGACGCAGGCCUGGUUAGCAGAGGUCUCCCUGAGAGGGAUCUCAUUGUCGUGAUCUACAGGAGCCAGGAAGAGGAGCCAGCCCUCGGAGGGGGCUGGUCAGCUGGGGCCAUGACAACAGGCCGCACUCAAAGGAACAGGUCCCCUUCAGCUCCAAAAGAUUGGCGUCAUCUGAGAAUGUGGACCCAGCGUGGGCAGAUUUUUCUAGUGUCUAGAAGUGACUGUGCAAACCCAAAACAAAACUAAAAAGACAUGUUUGUGGGCCACCAAGAACCUCUGGUAUGAAGUAAAUUAUACAGGCAUUGGACAGUAACAACCCAUCCAAGGGAGCUGUGGGCGGAGGUGUGGCAUCUGCUCAUUCCUGUUGUAGGGAGGUGAGCUCUACCACGGGGCAGUGGAGUGAACAAUGCCCGGAGAUUAUCCAAAACCCUUUGCUUUAAUUUUCCGCUCACCCAACAGACUUCUGCUUACUAAUUCAGGUUUACAACAAAGUUUAAAACCAGCAAGGGGGGGAUCUGGAUAAGGCACUAUACCUAUUUCGGUCCCCGGAAAGGGCUAUUCCUGCAUAUCAAUAAAUCAGCAUUCUGAUUUCCUACUGACCUCUUUGCUGAAUUUGUCUGCCUUGUAGAGCUUUGGGCAGCUCUGGGUAAGCUAACGAAAUAAAAUUCUGGUGCUGAAAAGCUGUUUGUGACCCUGAUCAACAGUGACCUAGGUUUGGUCACUGCUCCCUCUCCAGACACCAACCAGUGGGCUAUCUCUCUGUGAAUGUGGCAGGCACCAUUUUGCUGGGGAAGGAGGUUAAAUCUUCAGCCUUGUCAUAGACUCAGCUUUGUAAUUCAAGACUCUUUUCUCUCAUCCUUUGAUUUUCAGCCCCCAGACUUUUCUCUCCAUGUCCUUGCCCCCCGGCACUUCCAAUUGUCUAGCAACUAACUGUAUUUGGGCAUUCCCUGUCUUCCCAAAUUAUCUUUACUCUUCUUCCUUACUUCUUCAUCCUUCUCUUGUUUUAUUCCUUUCAUUACUUUUUGUUCUUUUAUUUUGCAAACUCACCUGCUUCCUCAGUGAUCUUUUUAAGAUCCCAUAUGUUACAGAUUCAUGAGGAUGGAAACAUUCCUUUAGAGCUGGGCUGACCAAUGUGGUAGCCGCUAGCUACACGUGAUUAUCGAACAUGUGAAAUGUGGCUUGUCUGAAAUGAGACGUGUGGUAAGCGUAAAAC